UAAGAAACCGUGACCCACGCCGACCAAUGAGAGUGGAGGGUGGGGAUUGUAUUUGCGCCGGGAACCGCCUCUUAAUCUAGCUUCCACCAGUGCAGCUAGGAAGCCGAACCAAGGCGGAGCCCGUGGGUAUCGUCCGGGACUGCCCUCCCUCUCUUUGCGCAGCGCCGCUGACCUCCCUGGGUAAGGUCUGCAGUAACUGCUCAGCGUUAACCUCUGCUCUGAGGCGUGGGCUGCUCUGCCCACAGAGAGCCGCAGGGUGGAAGGUCUCCAAACACCGGUUAUGGGCUGGUCUGUUCUCGGAUCAGCUGUGCUGUGGGAGGCGUGGUCCUGGGCGCCGCCGCCCAACUCUUGUGCUUGUUAAGACUUGGAGUGAGGGCAGGAGAGCCAAGGUUGCUGACUGCUAAGGAGCCGCAGACCGAUGACGACCACGAUCUUCGGGUACUGAGAACCCGUGUUGGGCGGGGUCCCCCAUGCCGCAUAGCUGUGACUGAUCUGGGCCUAAAUGGUGAGCCCCAUGGUCUCUGUUAAAUUCCACUCACUUCACAGUAAUCACAUGUCAGUAUUUGACAAUGAACUACAGGGGCUUCCCUGGUGGCUCAGACAGCAAAGAAUCUGCCUGCAAUGUAGGAUACUUGGGUUCAAUCCCUGGGUCAGGAAGAUUCCCUGGAGACAGGAAUGGCAACCCACUCCAAUAUUCUUGCUUGGAGAAUUCCAUGGACAGAGAAGCCUGGCAGGCUAUGGCCUAUGGGGUUGCAAAGAGUCGGACAUGACUAAGCUACUAACAACCUUUCAGAGAAAUCAGAACGGAUCAAAAAUGUCUAUCAUAAGACAGUAAAAACUAGACUUCACCUUCCCCCAGGGAAGAAGGAAACACUGGAGUAUCUCGGCUUGGGGGUGUCUGAGGAGAAUUGUGGGCACUGGCCCCCUUGGAGCUGCCUCCGGACGAGACCUCGUUCGCUGAUGCGGUUGCUGUGAAGUAGAUAUCCGACUGGAGAGAAAGAGAAGGCGUUUCUGAGCUGUGUAGUUUUAAGGGCCCUGCACCCACUGGCCCUCCUGUCAUCACUGCACAGACCCCCAGCUGUCUGUCCCACGGGGUCUGCGGUGCAGGAAGGAGCCAGGGAAGCGGCUGCCAGCUCUGGGCUCAGAAGGCUCCUGAGGGCUCAGUUCUCCUACUUCUUAUCUACUUGUUGACACAAAAUAGAAAAGAGUCAAUUUCCCACACGCCUUCCACAAAUACAGACACAAUACACUUCCCUGAAAGGGAGCUUGGGCACCAGAGGUUAGAACUGGGGAAGGUUUGGAAUCUAGUUAUGUCUGUGUCCCGGGUGGGGACAUGGGUCCUCACUCAUGAUUCAGCAAAUACUCAAGCCCACCCGCGAUGGGCCAGCUCUGGGGCAAUGGCGCUGGUGUGUGGCUCCUGUGGACUCAGGGCACUGAGUUUCAGGGGUCUUGCAAGCUGGCUGCUAAACACAGCCAUUAUUCAAUUUAAAUUGUGCUAAAAGAACAAAGGAACUAAAUAUCAAAAUUCAACCAUUCCUCAUUAUUUUACUACACUGACAAUUCUCCAUACUCUUGAGGUAAUUUAUACAGUGUCUGUGUGUAUGUGUGUUGGGGGGGGAUUGUGUAAUAGUGGCUCCUAAUGCGUGUGCUGAGGUGUCACCCGGGAAGCUUGAGAUCAAUCAUGGUGGGACUAUUUACACUGUGGAAAUCGGCAAAUGCUAUAAACCAGAGGUUGAUUUGUUGUUUUGUUGAUGGUCUGGACUUAAAGUGAUGGAGAAAACAUUAAUAAUGAAGAUUAAAAUUAAAAAGUAUGUUGUCCAGUGCUGAAAUUGAAAGAAGUUUUAGUUUAAUGAUUUGUAUGAGGGUGAAAAAUAGUUUAAUAGAUCACAUGUCAGAUUUAAUGACAACAAACUUGGAAAAAGAAUGAACGGGUUGAGAUAUAAUUCCAACUGUAAAAUUGUGGUUGAACUGCAGCCAGGGGUUGGCUAUGGAUAAAGGAAAAUCAGUGAAAAUUAAGAGUGGGACAUGACUGAGUAACUAAUUCUUGCUUCUUCUUAGUGAAAACAAAAGUGUUUUAUGAGAGCCAAUUGGCUAAAUGGACUUUGAGAUAAAAAGCAUUGUAUAUUUUAUUUUUAGUUAUAAAUUGUAAGCUAUUUAUGUUUUUAUAAUCAGUAAAAUAUAUUUUUAAAUUUUAAAA